CGUGAUGUAUUGAAUGCCAACAAUGAACAAAACGGAUUGGAUUGCAUUCGCAUGCAUGAUAAGUGUCGACAGAGAAGGAAAAUAUCAAUGCUAGAGAUCAACAAAGUUGGUAUUAGAAUGGAACCUCAGCUGCAACAAGACAAAAGCGGAUCCUCAGAGACGGGACGAAACGUUCCUGUAAACGUGCACCAGGCUUUGAAAAACCCACUUCAAAAAACUUUUCGCCCGCUUAUCAUAUCUCUGAAAUUAAUGGGACUCUACCACGAGAAUCAAGCGGUGAAUAGCGUGUCCAAUUUUUCAUGGGGCGGAGUAAGCACCAACGCCGCAGUCGAAGUAGAACGAUCACAUGGCAAAAUAAAAGCUCUGAGAGUGUACAGCACUGCAGUACUAGUUGCAAUAUGGACAAACUGCCUUCUACAGUUCACCAUGUUUUCCGUGCCAUCUAUGGGCUACCACCUAUUUGUAAAAGUCGUUUACUUGACGUGGUACAGCAACUUGUGUGUGAACGCAUUGGUUUUGUAUUUGGCAUGCCGUAAGAACCGCUUGCAGAACUUUUUUGCAGAAUGGGAAGUUUUACAUCACAGCAUGCCUUGUGUAUUUUGCCCUCGCCAUUUUAAAUGGCGAGUUUUAGUUUACACUGCUGUGAGCUGGGUAAUAGUCUUGGUUAAUUUUGCGUACAAGAUGUAUGAUAGUAUUUAUGGCUCUGUGAAUAGUUUAGAAAUUCAGAUCGCUCCAUUUCAUCUUUUAUUCGUAAAUAACAAUCGAACAAUAGAAAUGAACAUAAUUAAGUCAUUUUCGAUUGCUUUUGAAUUUAUCAUGUUAAGCUGUUGGAUUCUGCCGGUCGUGGCGUUUUUUGCGAUUGCUGAAGUCAUGUAUAAAGCUUUUCUUGAGUUCAACAAAAAUCUUAAGAUGGCGAUAAAAAACUUUAAUGGCACUAUGGGCUCCAGUCCUUGUGACUAAGAAUGGUACAGAAAAAGGCACCAGCAAGUCUGCCGACUCAUGGACACUGCAGACGGUAUUUUUUCGCCUCUUACCUCGGCGUGGAUGAUAGUAAACAUAGCUUUGUGUUGCCUCAUACUGUACAUCUUCAUAUACUACCUAUCAAAGGAGGAAGAUGCAUUUCUCCUGAUCGCCAACUUAGGCUGGCUGGCGGUUGCCUUUGGUGUACUGGGAAUUAUAGCGGUUGGAGGAGGCUCUGUAAACUACCAGGCUCAUGCUUCGCUUGGGGAAAUACAUGAUCUAGACUUGAGUAAUAAAGCGAAUGAAAACACAUUACUGCAGAUGCAGAUGUUCCUGAAUAAACUGUCCGGAGAUCCGAUAGGCUUUAGUGCAUUCAAUAUGUUCGUUAUCGACCGGCCUACAAUUUUGACGGUACUGGGCAUGGUGCUGACGUAUUUCAUUGUUCUGGCUCAAUUUCAACCGAUACUGGACUCGUCCAGUGCUGGAGCCGGUUUGAUGAACUGCACAGGUACUGGACCUAAUGUGCCAUGACGUCAUCGCUCAAGAGAUCAGCCGGAGUCGUCGUGAGAUAGAUUCAAAGUCGUCCUGAUACUGGUGUCAUCUCUUGCCGAAUUUUGCAACCUCAGAAAAAUGCAUAUACUCGUAUAUGUGGUGUUCGGCCUUCCGUAUUUACACUUUUUUUUUGUAUCGAUAUCCAUUGCUUUUAAUAAUCAUGUUGUUUAACAACAUGUUUAACCAUAGGCCUACAUGAAAGUCUGAGCACAUUGAGAAUUUAACUUUUUGCAAUCCUUCAUGCAAUUACUCAGUGGAAUUGUUGUUUAGAAGAACAAUUGCAGCUCGUUUCCACAUUUUAGAUAUUAUAUUCAUUGGUUUUGUGUUUGUCAUGUUUUUACAACCCUGUUAACGCAACUACAUAUGGUACGUUGUAUACAUGUGUUUACCUGGUACUACUUAGUGCUGGACAGAUAGAGCAUUCAGUUAACAUAAUGAAAUAUGUACGAGGACUCAUAUGUCUUUUGCCAAAGAGAUGCAAAAAACUAAAAUAAUGAGAUAAAUGUUAAAAGUCCCGUGAAGAGGAUUGCAAGAUAUUCAUUUUGAUUCGGCUAAAGUGAGUGGAAAAACAAAUUGAGAUGUGCCAUCCAUUUAGUAAAACCUGUUCGCGCCAUAAUGUUGUGUGUCAUUUUAUAUCAGUGACUCAUGCGUGACAUUUACAGUGGAUCUUUUAGGUAAAUUGAAUUACUAGAAGGGGACUAUUUCUCAUCCAUUAGUGUCAAGUUUGCUUUAAACGCUGUUUCACGCUUACUGUGGUGCAAAAUAAAAAAAAAUAGAUACAUAAAAAAAUAAACGGAAGUCCGCUUUCUGCAGUUGCAUU